UGGAGAUGUUAAAGCAAACCCUAAAAAGCCAGGAGAACGAUGCUCUUUAAUGGCGACAUUGCUCCUCACCAGGUUGAACAUCUUUUAAUACUUUGAAAUGGGCUCACAAAGUAUGUUGGAGCUUACUCUUAAUAAGAUCCUUCAUGUCAUGAACCCUUGAGAGAGGAUUUGAAAACAAGAAUGCAGAUAAUUGAGGAGUUACGGGUUGCUAUCAGCACAAUCGAAUGUUUGAGAGGUGCUACUGUGGAACCAUUUGGGUCUUUUGUGUCUCAUCUAUUUUCUCACAGAGGAGAUUUGGAUUUAUCAAUUGAGCUAUCCGAUGGAUUAUACAUUGCAGUUGCUGCUAGGAAGCACAAGUAAGCUUUAUUAGGGGAUGUACUUAAAGCAUUACGGAGGGCAGGUUAUUUUCUGUAAAUCAUACUUGAUCAUCUUCAUGGGGCUGGAAAUGUUUUUGUAACCACACAGGGAGCUUUUAUUUGCAUUUUUGAAGUCUUACAGCUUCUUAAGUUCUUCUAAGAUCACUGACAUUUAUGUCUUGAUCAAACUUUGCUCUACACCAACUCUUGAUUUGUCAAGUGCAUGUCGUCACUACAGCAAGUGUGAGCAUUGUAGUGAUAGCAUCUAAACAUCAAGCUAUACAAUUGAGUUAUUCACCAUUCUUGGAGGGUUCAUUAGCUCUACUAUUUCUUUUCUUCUUUAUAGUGAGUUUGGCAUUUAUUUUUUUCAUUUGUUUAAGCUCAAGUUCUAAUAAUUCUAUAAGAUAUUUUGUCUUGCAUGUGACUUAAUUUUAGAUUGAUUAGUAAUUUGUGUUUUUGUUUGUUUGUUUUCUAUUGCGGUUCAUUGUGAAUCCAGAAUAAGGUAGAGAAAUGCCGACUUUACCAUCUCUGCCUCUGAGGGUAAUAAUCAUUCAAUUGACCCUUUUUGAAAUUUUAGCUGCAAAUAUUGUAUUUUAGGUCAGAAGACAUUUAUUUUGGUUUGGGUACAAUAAAUAUUUUGGUUUGAAAGCUCUAAUGUCUCUAUCGUUGUUUGCAAAUCACUGAAGAUUCAUCCUUGACAUUUAAUUAGAUUAUUAGAACCUUGGUCGUCUUUGCUUAUGUUAAUAGUUUUAUAGGCUUGUAGAUAAGAAUAGAAGAUGGGAAUGAUAUUUAUAUGUAUGUUGCUAUUUUAAAUGAAGAAAUGCAUGAUGAUAUAACUAAUGUGAAUGAUUGUUAUACUCUGGAUCGGAAUCAGCUCCUUGUAUGUUGCUAAUUUAAAGUUGAAUACAUAAUGCUUUUGUACAAGAUGCCUUGACAAGUCGUGUUUUUGUUUUGCGAGCACGAGCUGCAUGGCUUGCUACUGCAGCUGCUGCCUUGCCAAGGCUGCUACUGUAGCUGCUUUCUUGCCAAGGCUGCUACUGCAGCUGCCGCCUUGCAAGUCUACUAUUGCUACUGCAGCUGCAAUUGCAGUUCUUGUUUAUUUUAAUUUGCUUCAUCUGACUUUGCUUUGGUUUGUUGGGAUAAAGGUCAAGGCUAUUCUGCUCUUGCUGCUGCUA